GACGAACGCUGGCGGCGUGCUUAACACAUGCAAGUCGAACGGAAAGGCCCUGCUUUUGUGGGGUGCUCGAGUGGCGAACGGGUGAGUAACACGUGAGUAACCUGCCCUUGACUUUGGGAUAACUUCAGGAAACUGGGGCUAAUACCGGAUAGGAGCUCCUGCUGCAUGGUGGGGGUUGGAAAGUUUCGGCGGUUGGGGAUGGACUCGCGGCUUAUCAGCUUGUUGGUGGGGUAGUGGCUUACCAAGGCUUUGACGGGUAGCCGGCCUGAGAGGGUGACCGGCAACAUUGGGACUGGGAUACGGCCCAGACUCAUACGGGAGGCAGAAGUGGGGAAUAUUGCACAAUGGGAGGAAGCGUGAUGUAGCAACGCCGCGUGCGGGAUGACGGCAUUCGGGUUGUAAACCGCUUUCGCAUGUGACGAAGCGUGAGUGACGGUAAUGGGUAAAGAAGCACCGGCUAACUACGUG
rnacentral:rRNA from 1 species